rnacentral:rRNA from 1 species
UACGUAGGAGGCGAGCGUUGUCCGGAGUUACUGGGCGUAAAGUGUGCGCAGGCGGCUUCGCAAGUCGAGUGUGAAAUCCCCGAGCUUAACUUGGGAAUUGCGCUCGAAACUACGGAGCUGGAGUGUGGCAGAGGAAGGUGGAAUUCCACGUGUAGCGGUGAAAUGCGUAGAGAUGUGGAGGAACACCGAUGGCGAAGGCAGCCUUCUGGGCCAACACUGACGCUCAUGCACGAAAGCGUGGGGAGCAAACAGG